rnacentral:rRNA from 2 species
AAGUUUGAUUCUGGCUCAGGACGAACGCUGGCGGCGUGCCUAACACAUGCAAGUCGUACGAGCUUCCCCGACUCUCUGAGGAGGGGAAGGCUGAGUGGCGAACGGGUGAGUAACGCGUGGUAACCUGCCUUGAGGAGGGGGAUAACCCCUCGAAAGGGGGGCUAAUACCCCAUAUACUCAGGGCCGCAGGGCUUCUGGAGGAAAGCUGGCCUCUGCUCUGCAUGCUGGCGCCUCAAGGGGGCUCGCGUCCCAUCAGCUUGUUGGUGGGGUAACGGCCUACCAAGGCGAUGACGGGUGCCGGCCUGAGAGGGUGUCCGGCCACACUGGGACUGAGACACGGCCCAGACUCCUACGGAGGCAGCAGUGAGGGAUCUUGGGCAAUGGGCGAAAGCCUGACCCAGCGACGCCGCGUGGGGAAGAAGGCCUUCGGGUCGUAAACCCCUGUUCUGGGAGAAGAACAGGAGAGGGGUGAAAGCUCCUUUCCGUGACGGUAUCCCAGGAGAAAGCUCCGGCUAAUUACGUGCCAGCAGCCCGGUAAUACGUAAGGAGCGAGCGUUGUCCGGAUUCACUGGGCGUAAAGAGCUCGUAGGCGCUCCUUAAGUCUCACGUGAAAGCCCCCGGCUCAACCGGGGAGGGUCGUGGGAAACUGGGAGCUUGAGGGCAGGAGAGGAGAGUGGAAUUCCCCGGUGUAGCGGUGAAAUGCGU